AUUACUUUGGAGAGGAGCAAGAUCUCUUCCAAAAGUACAAUGCCUCAUGUCCUUCCAAACCAGGACGAGUUUCCCCUCUGUGAAACACAAAAGGAUGUGAUUGUGCUUCUAAUACAGAUGUUCAGCAAGAUCUCAUGCAGCACUUAAUGAAAAUUACUGUCAGCACAAGGGGUGAGCAGGAGGACUUCAUCAUCUUGGAGGGGGUCCAAGUCAUGACUGGGUUGGAAAAU